CAAAUUAAAGCUUUUAUUUAAGCGUUUUAUUUACAUUAAAAAGAAUACUUUAGUUGUAUAAUUUGA
rnacentral:tRNA from 1 species